rnacentral:rRNA from 1 species
GACGAACGCUGGCGGCGUGCCUAAUACAUGCAAGUCGAGCGCUGAAGGGUGGUGCUUGUACCAACUGGAUGAGCAGCGAACGGGUGAGUAACGCGUGGGGAAUCUGCCUUUGAGAGGGGGAUAACAUUUGGAAACGAAUGCUAAUACCGCAUAAAAUCUUUAAACACAAGGUUCAAUAGUGAAAGAUGCAAUUGCAUUAACUAAAGGAGAUCCCGCGUUGUAUUAGUUAGUUGGGAAGGGAAAGGCUAACCAAGGCAAUGAUAAGUACCCGCCCUGGGAGGGUGACCGCCCACAUGGGAACUGGGCCACGCCCCAAACUCCUACGGGAGGAGCCGGAGGGGAUCCUUCGCAAUGGGCGAAAGGCUUACCGGGGAACCCCGGGGGAGGGAAGGAGGGUUUCGGGUCGUAAAAACCCGUUGGUAGGGAAAAACGUAGGUGGGAGUGAAAAGCGCAUGAAGUGACGGUAACUACUCAGAAAGGGACGGCUAACUACGUG